CAAAUGUUUGCCAAGAACAUAAAACUUUCCACCUUCUUCCCUCCCUCCCUCCGCCCUUCAUUAGUUCAGGUGAGAGUUAAAAAAACGAGAAGGAAGGAGGAAGUGCAGCCAGCCCGGUGGCCUCCUUGCAGCCAAGGUCCUCACCAUCCCUGGCAACCCGCACGCAAGAAACCCCCCCAGAAACCAGUGACCCAAAGUUCGCUGCGCUCCUGUCUCUUCGAUUUCUCUAUCAUUCUGCACCCCCCUUCCUGGAACAAGUCACCACGGAGCUGGUGUCUGCCCGAAUUUCCUGGAAUCGUGCUGAACACAGACCAGAGGGCAGCUGUGCCAGUUCACUGCAGCCGGGAAGACAUGGUUCCUGCUUUGGAUCCAGAGCUAAGGGAUAAGGGACUCCCAGGAAUCUGGUCCCUGGAGAUACCACAAUCCAUCUUCCUUCAACUUGGGAUUUGCAAAAGGAAGCCUCAGACAUCACGUGGCCAUCAUUUUAGACCUAAUUGACUUUUGUGCCCUGGCUCCCAAAGAGACCAUGUGGCUCUUGCACCCAUCUGUGGAUUGACUUUUUAUGAAGGAUUUAGGAUAGAAAUUAAAAAGAAAAUGUUCUUAUUAUGAGCCUCAAUUUGGAGAAAGAUGAUACUUGGGGAGAAGUAGGAUAUGACAAACAGAUCAUUUAAGCACUGGAUUGUAUAAUAAGGACACUUCUCUCUCUGCAGAAGUCACCACUCCAAGGGAAUCAGAUUGGACUAUUUCAUGAGGAGUUUGGCUCCCUGGCUGUCCACUUUUCCAAAGACCAGGAAGAAGUUGUUUUUAACAUGGGCCACCUGAAGCCUCAGAAGAAUCAGCAUGGCAUUAGAAGACAGCGAUCUACCUUAACCAAAGACACUCGAGAAAAUGUGGAGUCUAGGGUAAAAUGGUUCAGAAAUUGUCAAAAUUAUUCUAGAAGCUAUGGUUAAAAGUGACAGAGGUGCAGACAAAACACAGGUAUUUUAAAUUCACAGCUUGGAUAAGGGAAAAGGAGUUUUUGUUUUUUUCCUCUUCAAUCCAGUUUAGGCUUUCAAGUGGGAAAAAAGGAUAAUUAAAAGUUAGAAAUUGUUAAUGCCAGCAGAUAGCUCUAAACCUGAAGCAAAAAUUGGCCCUCCCUUGGGGAGUAAAUAAACUUGUAUUAUUAUUGAUAAUGAGGUAUCAACUCUUCCAGGCCAUGAGGGGGAAUGGUAAAAGGUGAAUGCAAAUCUCACUCUGAGGUGAAAAAGAAAAAUGUUCAUAAUAUGAUACUUUUGAAAGUUCCAUUGUUAUACAUGCUUAGUAAUAUUAAGCUAAUUUAAAAAUCUUAGGCAAGGUAAGGGAGGUAGAUACUCUAUUUUCAUUUAAGAAAGAGAUAAUGAGUGAACCUGAUACUGUCUAAUAUUUAUUGUGUGUUUAGGACGUGUAUCAGGGCAUAGUGUUAAACAGUUAACUUUGAUUAUCUCAUUUGAUUCUUAGACAAAUCCCUUGAGAUGGGUAAUAUCCUCUUCAUUAUAUAGAUGUACUAGCUGAGUCUAGAGGUCAAACAAAUGACUUCACCAGGCUCACAGAGCCAGUAAGUGAUGGACUUCAGUCUGUUGACUCCCAGAUCUGUGACUUUUGUCAUCAUACACACAGAAAAAGAUAAGAGCUGAAAUUAUAGCCUGACGCUUGAAACAGUAAAAGAAUUUUGUGUUUGUCAAUGUCCUGAUUAAUAAAGUAUUCUAAGAAGAGUUAACACAUGUAUAGAAAGCCAAUUUGUGAAGUAUAAUGUAUCAAAAUGUGCAUUUUCUAAUACAACCAUAGAAUAUAAAACAAAAUUUAAUCUUUAAUGAUGCUGAACAUGUAGAGCUUAUUUUUUUCCUGAGUACCAAUUAUUAUUACAUUAUUAAAGAAUCAAACUGA